AGAAAAGCUUGUUUCCAUUUGUCACACUCUGUUCUUGUUCUGUGUGUAAAGAGGUUGCUAUGGGAUUAUUUUCUAGAGUUACAACCUCCAUAUAUAAUCUGAGAAGAUCAUGCUGAGAAGAAAUGCACCAUAAGGCAAGUCAGAUGAGAUGCUUGCUGGUCAUCAAGAAAGUGGCACUCACAUUUUGAAGCCAAUCCAAACCAAGAGUGGCGUGGGUUCCUUUGACGGUCAUUUCUUAGAAGACUGAUUUAAUGACCUGCAAUGGGGAACACCGAGGCUCAUUCUGAAAUGGUUUUGGAUUUGCUCAGCAAACACAUAGCAAAGGGAUCUGCUUCAACCCAACAGAACAGAAUCGCAUUUUCUGUGGCCAUCAGCAUUCAGUCCUGGAGACAUGCCUGCAUUUACAGAGAUGGAGCCAAGCACCAAAGUCAACAUGGUUCUUAAAAAAUUAC